UAUUUAUUUAUUUUUUUGUGGGUUUACUUUAGUUUUAAAUAAUUGUGUCUUAUUUCAAUUUCUGGAAAAUUUAUUGCAAUCAAUGGGUUUGUUAGUUUAUUAUUUAUUUUAUUUUAAAAAUUUCGGUCUAUUUUAGUUUUGCUAAAUUCAAUGAGAUGAGGCUGUUUUAUGUCAAACGAACUUUUUUUUUCCAGCGAAAUUCCAUUACAGAAAAUGGAUUUUUUGUUGAUCUGUAUUUUCUUAGAGGCAAAAAUAAAACAAAAGGAAGAAGAAUUAAUUGUGAUGAUUACAGGCUUUAGGAGUAAAUAUGAUUCUUUGCAGGAUGAACUUAAAAAAGAGAAAGCCAUUGAAAACAGCAGUUUUCUAUGAUUUUUUUGGUAUUAUCUAUUAUUGAUAUUUGUGUCUUUCCUUUUCUGAAUUUAGAAAGGAAGCGAUUGAUUUUCAUAGGAAAGACAUUGAGGCAAGAGUUGUUUCUGAAAAGUUGCAAGCUUCUUUGUAAGAAUAGCUUGAAGAGGCCCAUCAAGAGGCAUUAGCCUCCAAUCAACCGGGCAUGCAGAUGUUUAGUUUAAUUAAUUUGUUGAUUCCUUUUUAAAUCAAUUUUCUUUUUGGAUGAAUCUCAAUUGAAAUCCCCAUCUGGGUAUUGUUGGAUUCUGUAGAUAGCAUUGCUUCAGGAUAUUAACAAGCGGUUGCAAGAAUAUAACAUGAGUUUGCAGCAAUACAACAGCAAGCUCCAGUCAGAUGCAGCGUCAGCUGCCGAGAACAUUUGAAGUUGCAGAACGAAAAGCGCACAAUAUGGAAAUCUAAGCAACUUGAGGGCUCAUAAUGGUUUGUUACAAGAACAAUUGAAUUCUUCCAUGGUCUGUAUAUUUGCCUAUGGUCAGGUAGGUUUUGGCAAAACAUACCAUAAUGGGUACACUGUAAGAUCCCAAACUGAAAGGGCUACCCGUGCAUGGGAACAGAUAUUUCAAAUUAGCCCAUCGCUUUCAUCUCUGGGGUGGACAUUCACGAUGCAGUUUCAAGGAGGUUUCCUCUCUUCUACACCAAGCUGCACAAAGCAGGCGACUGAUCUGAUGUCUUCCACAGCUCAACACCGUUGCCUUUUGGCAUACGGCAAUCAAUGUGGUGGACCAUUGGAACGACAUUCUCAAUCGCCUAACAUUUCUGUCAAUUGUGCCGUGAGUGAAUUGCAUGGAGUUUCUCAGCAAGUUGAAUGCCUAGGAAGUGGGUGGAAGAUUUUGAAGAGGGAGAGGGAUUUGGAGCAUCCCAUUAGGUGGAGAAGGUUGAGAUAAGUGUUGGAAGUCACAAUAAGAUCUGUGGUCCUCUAUAAUAGGGGUCUUUAACAAUGCUAUUGUCUUAGAAGCUAGUCCUUUUCCUCAUUGGGCUUGCUUCAAUACAAAAUUUGUGAAUGUAAUAACUUAGAGCGCUGAAUCUCGGCUAAUUCAUUCUACUACUGCAACAGCUUCACAUUCUCACCUAUUACAGAAUCUCUUAUGGAGCCCACUUCUCAUCAUACCAUUUGAUCCAGUAAAAUUAACCAUGGAGCUCACAGAAUCUCUUAUGAAUCUAAUGUUACCAAAGAGGAAUGUGCACAGAUACAGCCCCUAGCGUGCCAAGCGUACCAUGUUGCAAAACAUUUUGUCUAAUUCUGAAGAACACCUGGUGUGAAUAAUUAGGCUGAUCCUUAUUAGAUGGGCCUGACAAUUGCAAUCAAUAGACAAGGAAUGAUGUAACCCAACAUAUAGUUGUGGUACACAUUAGAGUGGAUCUUGUUCUUUUGUGCUGGAUGAUCUUUUUUAUUGUUCCACCAAGCUGGGAUGUCUUAGUUUCAGUAUCAACAGAGCGAUAAAUCCAUCCCAAACUUCCACAAUAACCAUAAAAAUUCAAUAAAAAUAAAUCACACAACAAACAUCCAAACAAACAAUAGUCUUGUUCACUACAUGGUAGAAUGUUAUUAAAAAAAAUAUAAAACUAUGGUUAAUAUAUUGAUGCUUGAUCUGUGGAAUUGCUCUAAUAAGCUCAACUCAUGCUAACUUGUCAGUUCCCUUGUGACUCGGCUUGAAAUCUCAUCGAGUUGAAGUGACAUGGACAAGUUUUGAGUCUAGUCACUGAGUUUUAGAACUAUGCAUACUGCCCAUUAACAUGUUUCGAGUGUACAUUUUCUUGUACUAGGGUUUGCUUAUGUUCUAAUAAAAUAAGGCUAUAAUUGGGUUUUUGAUGCAGCCCAUCCUUAUGCUUUUAGCUUAGCACUCCCAUGGAAGAAAUUUGGGUUUAAUGACUUGGUGUUCUGGUCUUCCUGCUCCAAUGCUUUCCACCAUUCUCUCUCUCCAGUGAUUUCCUGUAGGAUAGACUGAGAGGUAGAACAAGGGGAGUUCCUUCAGUUGUGGACACACUGUAACCUUGAUCUAUUGCAAGGAAGUGAAAGCCAGUGCCCCACCACUGCUAAUAAUGCUUGUCAAUUCCCAUAAUAUUUUAAGAUGCAAGGGGCAGAGUUGUGGGAGAAGAUUGACAGACAACGUCUUCCCCUCCUAUAAUCUCCUCCCCAUAAGAAUGUAUACUAUGAUUUGUGUUUCAAACAGGAAAGAGCAAUGAAACUGAUUUAAUACUAUUACUUAUACACUUUUACUAAAAGCAUUGAAAAGAUUUAACUUUAAAAAAAUAUAUAUAUAUAUUAUUGAAAAUAGAAUGUAAUAAAUUAUUGAAAACAUUACUUGAUUUCAAUGUUUUAGUGGAAAGUAACAUGUAAUGUCAGCUAUGUAGUGUCUGGCGUAGUCUAUGUAGCGUCUAGCAUAUGCAAAUUAUUACGUGGCAUAGGCUACAUAUGACUCAAGCUAUUUCAUGAGCUGCAUAGCAUCAAGGCUAAGCUACGCCACAUAACAUAAGCUUCACGUUACAUAGCAUAGCUAUUGAAAGCACUGAUUCUACCAUAUCUGCUGGCAAGAUGCUCUUAACUUAUGACAAUCACUACUAGUUAUUUUUCUUAGUUUUUGGAAGCUUUCCUGUGGUGCUUGUCCCUUGAAUAGCUGUGUCAAAUCAGGCAAUUCCUCCAGGUCGAGCUCUAGACCUGUCAAUGCAUCAAUAUGCAAUGUACAAUGAACUCCAUUUCAGAACAACCGUCAACAUGAGGCUCUGCUAAACUCGUUGAAUCGAACACUAGCUGAGAUAGGCAUGUUGACCUUUGCAACUCUCAGAUGAAGGCGUCUGCAUGUUUUAACAUUGAGUGUGUAUCAAAGGUCUAAGCCUGUAGCAGAGGCCUUCAUGUUAGACCUUUGAAUUGCCCACUAGAUGGGGUUUAAGCUUGUAGCUUAGUGGUAGAUAUAGUGUACUUUAACCAGUGUUUUAACUCGCGAAUAGUGUGUAGUGUAGUGUUCACCCCUCUGAAGUGUGAGGCAUAAGCUACAUAGCUACAUGCUACUUCUAGAUGAUAAUAAUAAUAAUAAUAAUAAUAAUCAAAGUUACACUUCGUUUCACCAAUUCAUGAUAUUCUGCACCAAAUUAGACUGAUUAAUAAUAAAAUUUAAAGAAAUUUCAUGGUAUUUGAUGCAACCAAACGCAAUGAUAUUUGAAAUAGAAAAAUGUAACCAAUCAUUGAAAACUAAUUGAUUUUAAUGUUAUGGCGAAAAAUAACUUGUAGUGUAAGCUAUGAGCAUGUAGCGUGGUCUUUAUAGUGUGUAGCAUAUGCAAAUUAUCAUGUAGCAUAGGCUACAUGCGACUUAAGCUAUUUUCAUGAGCAAUGUAGUGUAAGCUACACGCUACAUAGUAUAGCUAUUUAAAACACUGACUUUAACAUUAAGACCUUGAUCUCUUGCCUAGCUUACCUACAAAAAGGGUAGUUGUACAAUAUUGCCUCUUAUAUUCUUAUACACACUUAUAAGGAGUUAGUUGCAGGCAUGCAGACUUUGUUGGACAGAAUGGACUGACCUAUAUGCACUUAAUAGACUCAUUUCAACUUAUAUGCAGCAAUUCUCUGUAUAUCUGUGUAUGAUUGUGUAUAGUCCAUAUAUGUGCAUAUAAGUUUGGAUCAUAGUUAGCAAAAUGCCAUACAUCAUACGAUGGUACAGGAAAUGCUUGGGUUUAAGUUUGGAUAAUUAAAAGUACAGCCAAAAAAAUUUAAACUAAAAAAAUACAAAAAAUGAAAAUUUUAGGUUUAUUAAGGUUUCAAUGUAAUAAAAGGAAAGACAAAAACAUGGAAAGUUAACCAAAGAAAUCAACAGCCAAUCUCUCAUCCAAUCCAAACAUGCUCUUCUACCAUCAGUAAAAAUUAAUCAACACAUAAUCCAUUUCAAAGAUAUAAAAAGAGUCUAUUUUAGAUUAACGGUCUUGUGAAUAAAGAGACUCAACACAUGAUACGAAUCCUUCCAUUACCCAAUACCUUACUAGUUCAUCAACCUGUAUAUCAUCAUGUUCUGGGUAAACUGCAAAAUGCAUGAAGCAAAUAUUUUAAUUUUUCAUCCACUAACUAGUGAUAGCUAAAUUUCAAAUGUAGAAAUACAUUCCGCUCUGUUCCUUCAUUUUCAGGUGCUGAGCCCCCGUGUCCUCAGUGUAUUCAGCCACAGCGCUUUGUUGUAUUUGCCUCGCUUCCCUUCUGACAAUCACCACACUCUCUGUCGACAUCCUCGGCAAGUGAGCGUGGAUUUGUCAGGACUCCGUAUCCGGCCAUUUCACAGAACAGUUCCCCAGCUUCCAUUUUUGUAAGAGUUUCUAUAACAUUUGUGUCAGCUUCCAUCACGAUACCCAUUGUUUGUUCAGACCUGCUCUGACCAUGAACGGAUGUUGUGCCCAUCUCCACUACCGUUGGUCGCUGAGGGCUCACAAAUGCACGAUCGAAGACCCUUUCAUCAUUGACAUCUUUUACCUCCUUGAGCUUCUUAAGGACCCUUUUACCCAAUUGGUAGCGAGACCAGUAAUUGGUGAAACGGCCAUUGAAGAUAGUUCUCCUUUGAUGGAAUUCUGCUUUUAUCAAAGUGACCUCCUCCUCAAUACGGGCUACCUCUUUAAUCCAAUUCUGUACUUGGCAUGAUGAUCCCUCAUUGGCUUCUUGGAGGUCUUUGCGUUUGCUUGUUAGUGCUUCUGUUGCUCGUAUCAGAGUGUUCACAUUUUCUUC